GAUGAACGCUGGCGGCGUGCUUAACACAUGCAAGUCGAACGGGAAACCUUUUAAUGCAGCUUCGGCAGAUUUCGCUGGUUUCUAGUGGCGGACGGGUGAGUAACGCGUGGGUAACCUGCCUUAUACAGGGGGAUAACAGUCAGAAAUGACUGCUAAUACCGCAUAAGCGCACAGGACCGCAUGGUCCGGUGUGAAAAACUCCGGUGGUAUAAGAUGGACCCGCGUUGGAUUAGCUUGUUGGUGGGGUAACGGCUCACCAAGGCGACGAUCCAUAGCCGGCCUGAGAGGGUGAACGGCCACAUUGGGACUGAGACACGGCCCAGACUCCUACGGGAGGCAGCAGUGGGGAAUAUUGCACAAUGGGGGAAACCCUGAUGCAGCGACGCCGCGUGAAGGAAGAAGUAUCUCGGUAUGUAAACUUCUAUCAGCAGGGAAGAUAGUGACGGUACCUGAAGAAGAAGCCCCGGCUAACUACGUG
rnacentral:rRNA from 1 species